UUGUGGAGGAGGACGCCGAAGGUGGGGCUGAUGACUGGGGUGAAGUCGUAACAAGGUAGCCGUACCGGAAGGUGCGGCUGGAUCACCUCCUAACAGGGAGACAAAAACUGAUCGUGAUGUCUGAUUAAUUUAUUAGGCCAUGAUCCUGUCACCUUAGGUCGAUCGGUACCUCUAAUUGAACUUAAAACAACAGUUGAGUUAAUCAGGUGUUUAAUUUUGAGUAUCAAUUUCAGUUCCUAAACUUGUCUAGGUCACACCCAGCAAGGGUACUCCUGGGCCAUUAGCUCAGGUGGUUAGAGCGCACCCCUGAUAAGGGUGAGGUCCCUGGUUCAAGUCCAGGAUGGCCCAUUCGGUGUUGGGGGUAUAGCUCAGUUGGUAGAGCGCCUGCUUUGCAAGCAGGAUGUCAGCGGUUCGAGUCCGCUUACCUCCACUGAUCCUCUUCCUGAAUACAAACCCAAGGAGAAUUUUUUGUUAGAUGUGACUUAGAAUAUGUUCCUGUAGAAAGAACCUAGCUUCUUAUCAUUCCUAUCCCAAGAAAUACAUAAUUUUUAGGAGAGGUUGAUAUGACGCUGGGCUUAAUGCACAUUUAAUUGCAUUGUUUCUCAGUAGAACCUUGACAACUGCAUAGGUAAGUCUGGAAAGAAUAAAGCAUCUCAUGGAUGCAUUUUCUUUUUGAAUCAUUUAGGAAACUGUUAACUCAGUUUUUCUAAAUUUGAUUUGAGUUGAUAAAUGUUUAAUUCUUGAGCAAGAGCCGAGACCUUAUAAUAUUUUCUUUGAUGUUAUUUUUACAUUAAAGAUAAAGCUCUUGAUUUUAUAUUAAUGAGCAAAUUUAUUAUAAGGAUUUUAUGGUCAAGCUACAA
rnacentral:misc_RNA from 1 species